CUUCAGUUAUGCGAUUAUGCAAGAGAUUUCUGAAAUUGUUAUACAUGUAUAUAAAGAGAGAGAGAGAGAGAGAGAGACAGAGACAAGAUAUAAAUUUACGGCAGGAAAGUUUUAAAUUCAAUUGUGUUGCCAAAAUGACAAUAUCUAAAAAUGAUUUGGAGAUCUCCUACGAAAACAGGAGGACCCCUUCAGACAUAAAGUUGAAAAGUAAUUAAAACUACGGCCGGUUUUGAUUUACACGAAGUCCAUUUUCCUCCCAUUGUCCGUUAUGGCAAUCAGUUAACAUCUCUUAUAACGAGUUAUGAGGUCUUCCUUAACUCUGCGAUCCAUCCAAUCAAGCUUUAACUCCUCCCAUUUUAGAUAGGCGCCAUCUUGGCUCCAGUCGAAAAUUGGUAGAUUGCCAACUUCCAAGUUUUGGCAAUAACCCCGAUCCAAUUGUUUUAAUUAACAUGGUAAUGCCAGCAUUUGCUGGAUUGCCAAUCUUGUUUUCUUCUGAAAGACUCUCCUAGACCUCUCUGAAUAAUUAUAAGGGUUUUAAUGGAAUUUAUGAGUGGAAUAAAUGGAGAUUAAAUGAUGUUUUAUGGUAUUUAAGCGAAACUAUGUUCG
rnacentral:lncRNA from 1 species